rnacentral:rRNA from 1 species
UACGUAGGGUGCAAGCGUUAAUCGGAAUUACUGGGCGUAAAGCGUGCGCAGGCGGUUAUGCAAGACAGAUGGGAAAUCCCCGGGCUCAACCUGGGAACUGCAUUUGUGACUGCAUGGCUAGAGUGCGGCAGAGGGGGAUGGAAUUCCGCGUGUAGCAGCGAAAUGCGUAGAUAUGCGGAGGAACACCGAUGGCGAAGGCAAUCCCCUGGGCCUGCACUGACGCUCAUGCACGAAAGCGUGGGGAGCAAACAGG